GAGUUUGAUCCUGGCUCAGGACGAACGAGGCGGCGUGCUUAACGCAUGCAAGUCGAACGGAGCGAAUGAAAGCUUGCUUUUAUGAGCUUAGUGGCAAACGGGUGAGUAACACGUAGACAACCUGCCGACAGGAUGGGGACAACAUUCCGAAAGGAAUGCUAAUACCGAAUGAAGCGGAGGAGAGGCAUCUCUCUUCCGUGAAAGAUGGCCUCUUUUUAUGCUAUCACCUGUCGAUGGGUCUGCGUCUGAUUAGCUGGUAGGUGAGGUAACGACUCACCUAGGCGACGAUCAGUAGCCGGUCUGAGAGGAUGAACGGCCACAUUGGGACUGAGACACGGCCCAGACUCCUACGGGAGGCAGCAGUGGGGAAUCUUCCGCAAUGGGCGCAAGCCUGACGGAGCAACGCCGCGUGAGUGAAGAAGGUCUUCGGAUCGUAAAGCUCUGUUGACGGGGACGAACGUGCGAGAGGUGAAUAAACUCUUGCAAUGACGGUACCUGUCGAGGAAGCCACGGCUAACUACGUGCCAGCAGCCGCGGUAAUACGUAGGUGGCGAGCGUUGUCCGGAAUCAUUGGGCGUAAAGGGAGCGCAGGCGGGCAAGUAAGUCUUUCUUAAAAGUGCGGGGCUCAACCCCGUGAUGGGAAAGAAACUACAUGUCUUGAGUACAGGAGAGGAAAGCGGAAUUCCCAGUGUAGCGGUGAAAUGCGUAGAUAUUGGGGAGGAA
rnacentral:rRNA from 1 species